rnacentral:misc_RNA from 1 species
GUUGAACUUUGUUGCUUUUUAUUUGUGCAAUUUAUGUUUGAAUUUUCAUGUUGAUUAAAAUGUUUGCACUAUUUUGGUGUCUUAAAGUCUAUAGAACAAAAGUGAAGUCACUGGUUAUUAUAUUUUUCCUUUGUUCUUAUAUGUUACCUUAAUGUAUUUUGGUAGCUUUGUGGUCUAACAAACAACAAUAAUUAGAUUAUUA